AACUUCUCCAUCUGGACACACUCCUAUUACCUAAGCCAUCGUCACACUUCAAGCCAAAUCACCACCAUUCCCACCCUUGUUUUUCAGUGUCCCAUGGUUGGGACUAUGGGAAGCACUAUGUGUGAAUUGCUUCAGUUAGCCAUCACAGUAGCACCGUGAAGAAGCUAUCAUUAUACUUAUUUUACAGAUGAAGAAACUGAGAUGGAAACCCUCUUCUUUCCCUAUCGGAAAUCAGUAGCCUGUGUUGUAUAAGACAUCUUCAUGGCCAAACUACCACUAUCUUCAGGAUUCCAGCUGGACCUGCUCACCAAAGACCAUCUAUCAUAGUUGAUAUUCCCUCUUGGAAAGGGGAUGGAGAGGAUCAUGAAACCCUUGCUUGAGCAGAUCUGCUGGAGUAUUUGGUCCAGAAUAGCAGAAGAGAUGCUAUGCAAUGGAUUCUUAUUUUUAUCACGAAUACCAACACACAGCUGCACACACACAAGGUGGAUAUAUCUGCCUUGACUUGCAGGAGGAGCAGGAAGCUAUGCUGAACAAGGCCACAUACUUGACAGCCAGACCAGGCCUUCAAAAUGAGCCUGCCAGCCACACCAAGAGAUCCUAACUUUGAGAAUUUAACUCAAUUUAUUUGCAUAUCAUUAUUACUCAAAGAGAUAUC